CCUACGGGGGGGCAGCAGUGGGGAAUAUUGGACAAUGGGGGCAACCCUGAUCCAGCCAUGCCGCGUGUGUGAAGAAGGCCCUCGGGUUGUAAAGCACUUUCAGUGAGGAAGAACGCCUGGUGGUUAAUACCCAUCAGGAAAGACAUCACUCACAGAAGAAGCACCGGCUAACUCCGUGCCAGCAGCCGCGGUAAUACGGAGGGUGCGAGCGUUAAUCGGAAUUACUGGGCGUAAAGCGCGCGUAGGUGGCUUGAUAAGCCGGUUGUGAAAGCCCCGGGCUCAACCUGGGAACGGCAUCCGGAACUGUCAAGCUAGAGUGCAGGAGAGGAAGGUAGAAUUCCCGGUGUAGCGGUGAAAAGCGUAGAGAUCGGGAGGAAUACCAGUGGCGAAGGCGGCCUUCUGGACUGACACUGACACUGAGGUGCGAAAGCGUGGGUAGCAAACAGGAUUAGAUACCCUGGUAGUC
rnacentral:rRNA from 1 species